CAAGUCGAGCGAGCUUGCCUAGAUGAAUUUGGUGCUUGCACCAAAUGAAACUAGAUACAAGCGAGCGGCGGACGGGUGAGUAACACGUGGGUAACCUGCCCAAGAGACUGGGAUAACACCUGGAAACAGAUGCUAAUACCGGAUAACAACACUAGACGCAUGUCUAGAGUUUAAAAGAUGGUUCUGCUAUCACUCUUGGAUGGACCUGCGGUGCAUUAGCUAGUUGGUAAGGUAACGGCUUACCAAGGCAAUGAUGCAUAGCCGAGUUGAGAGACUGAUCGGCCACAUUGGGACUGAGACACGGCCCAAACUCCUACGGGAGGCAGCAGUAGGGAAUCUUCCACAAUGGACGCAAGUCUGAUGGAGCAACGCCGCGUGAGUGAAGAAGGGUUUCGGCUCGUAAAGCUCUGUUGGUAGUGAAGAAAGAUAGAGGUAGUAACUGGCCUUUAUUUGACGGUAAUUACUUAGAAAGUCACGGCUAACUACGUGC
rnacentral:rRNA from 1 species